rnacentral:rRNA from 1 species
ACCUGGUUGAUCCUGCCAGUAGUCAUAUGCUUGUCUCAAAGAUUAAGCCAUGCAUGUCUAAGUAUAAGCAACUAUACGGUGAAACUGCGAAUGGCUCAUUAAAUCAGUUAUCGUUUAUUUGAUAGUACCUUACUACUUGGAUAACCGUAGUAAUUCUAGAGCUAAUACAUGCUAAAAACCUCGACUUCGGAAGGGGUGUAUUUAUUAGAUAAAAAACCAAUGCCCUUCGGGGCUCCUUGGUGAAUCAUAAUAACUUAACGAAUCGCAUGGCCUUGCGCCGGCGAUGGUUCAUUCAAAUUUCUGCCCUAUCAGCUUUCGAUGGUAGGAUCGAGGCCUACCAUGGCGUUAACGGGUAACGGAGAAUUAGGGUUCGAUUCCGGAGAGGGAGCCUGAGAAACGGCUACCACAUCCAAGGAAGGCAGCAGGCGCGUAAAUUAC